rnacentral:lncRNA from 1 species
GUCAUCAUUAAAUUCGAAUGUCGUAAGAACAGUCGAAUUUUACUGUUCCCAAUUUCCACGUGAUCGAGAGAGGCAUGAAAGCGUAUGAAAGGCCAACAUGCUCAUUAACGAGCAGAAAUUUCAAAGCAAGGCACAUAUUGAAUGUAGAUAGUCAUUUUCGGAGGAAUCGAGCAUGCUUUGAAAGGUUGAUUUCUUCAAGGCUGUUUCUGCAUGUGCACACACAACCAUGAUGCUGUCACUUUUUAUUACGCAUCAAGCAUCCAAAGUGUCAUCAUUUGCAGCCCUAAAGAGAGAGAACCCCACUCGCACAUUUGAGUGUUGGAACAGAAGCCAUCUCAACUUUCUUUUCAACAAUCGUGGGGUAGACCCAAUAAGAAAAAGUGUUGAUGUCAGACUUUGGGUGGCACUUCAAGUAAAUCUCAAGUUGUGUGGAUGCGUCGCACUUUUGGCGAGUUUUGGAGAAAUAAACGAAGAAAGGUCGUCAAAAACGGAAGCUGUAGCCUUCGUGAAAAACAAGUUUCCCGCACGUCGUCGUCUGAUUUUUUAUUAGCGUCGUAAAUUUCUGAUUGAUGCCGAUUGAAGGCAUUUUUACAAUCUUGGAAAAAGGUCUAAUCAUAUACUUGGCCCGUCAGUUUUUAUCGAUGCAGUAAAAAAGGAAAAAAAGAAAGAAAAGGGGGAAAGAAAAACGUUUACGUCUGUCUCAUUAUGUAUACCCGAUAACGUACACGACGACGAAUUGUGAUCGAUUGCCGGAAACGGAUGAAUUGCUUCCAACACGAGUUGAACUGGUCCAUUAUUUCAGUGAUUGAAAGUGGAAAUGCGGAAUCAAUUGAUCGCGGACGACACUUAUUUUGUCUAUUUUUAGGAAGAGACGGGCAGAAUCUUCUUGAAAACGGAACUGGACAGAAUGGAAGAUUUGAGGCAAUCGGUUAAACUGUUUUGCGUUGAAAUUUCCCUAUUAUGAUUCUAUCUAGAUGAGGAGUUACCAUUAUUAGUAAAAAAAUUACCGCUAGAUGGCGGGAAAACUCAACAACAUGGUUUCAUCAAAAGGAAACCGAAGUAUGGAUUUGAAUUCCAACAUCCGAGUAGCCCAUCAGCUUCAAGUUCAUUAAACAAACUAGAUAAUUGCACCCUUGACACAGUUCCUGCUACAGAAUCAAAUAUUAAUAGGAACAGCAAUGUGGCAGCCAAGUUAGUGAAUGUAGCUGAGCUAGAGCUAGCUAAGAAGAAAACAGAAGAGUGCAAAACAAAUCUUUUGAAAAAUGGGAUUAUUCACCAUAUGUGCGAACUGAUCUCCAAGUGGUUGUUUGGGCAGCUAUGGAGAAAAGAGAGGUUGAAAUGUGUUAGCAGCUAGCAUCCUUAAAAGAAAAAGUAAUUCAUACAGGUCCACAGUAUUCAAAACAACUGGAAGCAUUAAAGACAGAAAUGAACUUCAAUGAAUUAGAAUUGGAGGUACAAGGAUUCCAGCCUCCGUCCAAGAAUCACCAAACAGAAGAAAAUUCCUCAACAUGUAUUACAUGAAAGCCAUCUUAUUUGGGAGCUAUGUUUAAUGUUGGUAAUUAUUUAGAUCCUCUUUUGAAAUGGCUAAAGACUCGACAGGCACUGAACGUAAAACUUAAAGUAUGGUCUAAAUACUUUAUUGCUGUGGCUCAAUUUGCAAUUUCCUGUGUAGGAAUGGAUAACGCUACCGAUACUGCAAUUCUAAUCGAAACAUUCUAAUUCAGCCUUCUGUCGCCCAUGUACAACAACGGUAGAUUGCUGAUUUUUUUGUUCCUCUUCAGCAGUGAACCUGGUAUAGCCGAAAUGUUAUGCAGCAACUUGAGAACUUGCAACAAGAGCGGGUCAAAGACGAAGAUAUUCUAAUGUCAAAUGGAGAACUUUUUUGUUGCUGGAUCGUCCGUAUUUUGCCCUUCGUCGAAAAUCCAAAACAAGGCCGCUUUAUUGAGGUCCUUCUUCUGAAGGAAUGUUCGUCAAAUUUGAAAUUUGACGGUCAUUUGAGCUCUCGUCGAGAGCCUUGGAUUACUUAUAAGCAUUCAUCAGCAAAAGGUGGACACUGUAACAGAAAAGCUUUAAUUUUCCCGCUUAAUAUCAAACGGCAAUAAUGACACAUAGACGGCAACACGAAGCAUUAUUAUUUUUUAUUUUUUUAGUUGAGAACUAAAACUAUUUCUGUCAAUUACGCAAUUUUUGAAUAACACUGAAUCGAAGUGUUUCUAGCGCAAAUUUCUUUUAAACUUAAAUAACUCAUAAACUAUAAAUCCCAAGUGAAAACAAACUUGAUUUUCAGCAUCCUCGUUAAGUUUUUAAUCUACAUUUUGUUUUUUAAUAGCAAUAUUAAGGUUUGUGAAAAAAUAAAUAAAUAAAGUCAUGCUUAUUCCGUCGGGCUUAAAAUUUUGACUUGGAAAUAUGUUUGCCACUAGAUGGCAGUAUUGCAUUGCUGAUAUAAACAGUGAAAUAGAGAACGAGUUGGGAGUUUUUUUUUUUUUUGAAGUGGGUGAAAUGGAGUUCUGUAAGAGAUUUGAGAACAGCAAAGGUUACCUUAGGAUUGUUUAUAGCUUUUCAAGCACUUUCCUAGAAAUGUCGGUAAGCACAAGUCGAACGUUUCUGGUUUUUCGUCCUUCUGGCUUAUAGCACAGUUUCCAGUAUGGGCCAAGCAAAGCAUAUUUACUGAGAGGCAAAACAAGAUCAACUCAAUGAUUAUACAAAAAGAACAUUGCCUGGAUGAGCAAGUUUACUGUAUCUGCUGUAGCUCAGACGGACCCACUACUGUGGUGAAUGCAUUCCUUGUUAUAUUAUGUAAAUAACUGCAACAAGUGUGACUUGAUGAAAACCAUGCCAGCUGUGUUAGUACUGAAUCUAUCUCACUUUUGGCCCCUAGGUGUCUUGUAUUAAAUUUUGUCUUUGACAGUAACAUAAGAAGAGGAAAUUGUUGGGAAACCCAUCUUGAAUGAAGCCAAAUAUUCCUAUGUUGAUGUUUGAGAGCCCAGCCUGUGAAAUAAUAAUACAACGGAACAGGAAAAGGCAAGAAGACAUUGUUCCUUUGCUACUUCUGGGGACCACCAUAACAACCAACAGCACAUCACAGUUGUACUUUUGACAUAUUGCUUCAGUGGAGUUAGUACGGGAACACAACACUGACAGGCCAUAGUUAAAAGCUUUUCAAGAUUCUAUGUUUCUACCUCCAUCGCCUUGCCCGUCGUCUUGCCCGUCGUCUCGUCCGUCGCCUUGCCCGUCGUCUUGCCCGUCGCCUUGCCCGUCGUCUCGUCCGUCGCCUUGCCCGUCGUCGUGCCCGUCGCCUUGCCCGUCGCCUUGCCCGUCGCCUCGUCCACCGCCUUGCCCGUCGUCUCGUUCGUCGCCUUGCCCGUCGAAUCGUCCACCGCCUUGCCCGUCGUCUUUUCCGCCGCCCAGCCUUCGCUUCGCCCGUCGCCCAGCCUUCGUCUCGUGACCCGCGCUGUCUUCACUUCGCCCGUCGCCGCCCCGUCUUCGCCUCGUGGUCGCCCCGUCACCGCCUCGUAUUUUUGGUAUCGUUGUAUUUUUUUAUGUGUAAUUGUGUAGUAUUAAUUAACCCGUUGGCUGCCACCCACUUUGAUCCCCUUUUUUUUUAAGCUUGUUAGGGUCCGGCAGCGCUGUUCUGCCCAAUGGUCUAUAUGCCAUGGGUGGGACAGUUGCACAAGCCGUGUGGCUCAAAGUCGAUCGUCGAGGCAAUGCACCAGUAGGGACUUCCCCCUUGUCGAUGUGGUGGUGGUUGCCUGGGGUGUGCAUUCCCAUAACGGCUUCCAUCAUCAUAUCAGCCCGGACUUGUUUUCGGACAAGUCCCCCUUGGUCGCUAUCCUUUCGAUAGCGAUGUAGCUAGUGUAGAUUUAGUGGCGUGGCAGCCAACGGGUUAGUUUUAUUUAUGUAUGUUUAGUAUUGUGUUGUAUUGUAAAAUGUAAAAAUUUUGUGGAGGAUUUGUGGGUGGAUGGAGGGACAAUAAAUACUUUAAUUUAUA